UACGAAGGGGGCUAGCGUUGCUCGGAAUUACUGGGCGUAAAGCGCGCGCAGGCGGUCUUCCAAGUCAGUGGUGAAAGCCCGGAGCUCAACUCCGGAAAUGCCAUUGAAACUGUAAGACUUGAGGAUGAGAGAGGUGAGUGGAAUUCCCAGUGUAGAGGUGAAAUUCGUAGAUAUCGGGAGGAACACCAGUGGCGAAGGCGACUUCCUGGCCUGUUCGUUGACGCUGAGGCGCGAAAGCUAGGGUAGCAAACGGG
rnacentral:rRNA from 1 species